rnacentral:rRNA from 2 species
GGAAUUCCACGUGUAGCGGUGAAAUGCGUAGAGAUGUGGAGGAACACCAGUGGCGAAGGCGACUCUCUGGUCUGUAACUGACGCUGAGGAGCGAAAGCGUGGGGAGCGAACAGGAUUAGAUACCCUGGUAGUCCACGCCGUAAACGAUGAGUGCUAAGUGUUAGGGGGUUUCCGCCCCUUAGUGCUGCAGCUAACGCAUUAAGCACUCCGCCUGGGGAGUACGGUCGCAAGACUGAAACUCAAAGGAAUUGACGGGGGCCCGCACAAGCGGUGGAGCAUGUGGUUUAAUUCGAAGCAACGCGAAGAACCUUACCAGGUCUUGACAUCCUCUGACAACCCUAGAGAUAGGGCUUUCCCUUCGGGGACAGAGUGACAGGUGGUGCAUGGCUGUCUUCAGCUCG